rnacentral:misc_RNA from 1 species
UUGGCAUAUUUCCAAAGGCAUUUAUUAUUAUUAUACCAUAAAUUAGCCCCCUUUAUUUGACUUCAUCAGCAUCAUUGCUCUCAAAAGUCAAAUGGGUUUAACUGUUCUGUUAAGCAUGAAUUAGGAAGUUUGUCAUCUUCAAAACCCACUGCUCAGCCAGAAUGUUUGCCAUUUGUGAAUAGCAAUAACCAAAUAAUUAAAUGCAUAUUUUUAAGUAGUUG